UGGGGAAUAUUGCACAAUGGGCGCAAGCCUGAUGCAGCCAUGCCGCGUGUGUGAAGAAGGCCUUCGGGUUGUAAAGCACUUUCAGCGAGGAGGAAGGGUAGUGUGUUAAUAGCACAUUGCAUUGACGUUACUCGCAGAAGAAGCACCGGCUAACUCCGUGCCAGCAGCCGAGGUAAUACGGAGGGUGCAAGCGUUAAUCGGAAUUACUGGGCGUAAAGCGCACGCAGGCGGUUUGUUAAGUCAGAUGUGAAAUCCCCGCGCUUAACGUGGGAACUGCAUUUGAAACUGGCAAGCUAGAGUCUUGUAGAGGGGGGUAGAAUUCCAGGUGUAGCGGUGAAAUGCGUAGAGAUCUGGAGGAAUACCGGUGGCGAAGGCGGCCCCCUGGACAAAGACUGACGCUCAGGUGCGAAAGCGUGGGGAGCAAACA
rnacentral:rRNA from 1 species